AAGCAAAGACGGUGCCUCUACAUACCAAAAGCUGGUGUUUGAUCUUAUGAAAAUGUGGAGAUUUUGCUAAGAAAUCUGUGAACCUAUUUCUUUCCUUCAACGCCCAACCGCGGACUUCUUUGAGGAAUUGUGUCCAGAAUUCAGCAUAUGGUAAAGCAAAGACGGUGCCUCUACAUACCAAAAGGUAAUGUUUGAUUUGAGAGA